rnacentral:tRNA from 1 species
AAAGAAUUAGUUAAAUUUAUAACCUAAAUAUGUCAAAUUUAAAUUAUUAUCCUUAAUAUUCUUUU